AACGAACGCUGGCGGCAUGCCUAACACAUGCAAGUCGAACGGGAUCCUAGCUUGCUAGGUGAGAGUGGCGGACGGGUGAGUAACACGUGGGAAUCUGCCUUUUGGUUCGGGAUAACCGCGGGAAACUGCGGCUAAUACCGAAUGCCCUCGAGAGAGGAAAGAUUUAUCGCCAGAAGAGGAGCCCGCGUCCGAUUAGGUAGUUGGUGGGGUAAAGGCCUACCAAGCCGACGAUCGGUAGCUGGUCUGAGAGGAUGAUCAGCCACACUGGGACUGAGAUACGGCCCAGACUCCUACGGGAGGCAGCAGUGGGGAAUAUUGGACAAUGGGGGGCAACCCCUGGAUCCAGCAAUGCCGCGUGAGUGAUGAAGGCCUUAGG
rnacentral:rRNA from 1 species